ACCAUGUCUCCAUGAAGUAGCCCCUUGUGCUGUACACAAAGCGCUGAUUCUCGGUGACACAUUCCAAGGCACGAAUGAACACAAAAUAAUGGAGUCAUUCCUGGUGUCACUCUGUAUAACAUCCCCCUCCAGGAGCCGUAAGAAGGCUGGUGAGCCACUGAACUAGAGAGACGCGUGCCUGGAUAUCAGGAGCAAGGAACCACUGUGGAGAACCCAGAAAUAGUAACCAGACCAGCUGAUAGCCGAGACAGCCACACCAUAUGCGACCCCUCACCCUACCGCAGCUCCAGUCAGUACAGGGAAUAACCCACUGCCCACAC